UACGAAGGGGGCUAGCGUUGUUCGGAAUUACUGGGCGUAAAGGGCGCGCAGGCGGCCCUCCAAGUCAGGCGUGAAAGCCCCGGGCUCAACCCGGGAACAGCGCUUGAGACUGGGGGGCUUGAGUUCGGGAGAGGAGAGUGGAAUUCCCAGUGUAGAGGUGAAAUUCGUAGAUAUUGGGAAGAACACCGGUGGCGAAGGCGGCUCUCUGGACCGACACUGACGCAUG
rnacentral:rRNA from 1 species